CCUGAUCAGCCAUGCCGCGUGUGUGAAGAAGGCCUUAUGGUUGUAAAGCACUUUAAGCGAGGAGGAGGCUACUGAGACUAAUACUCUUGGAUAGUGGACGUUACUCGCAGAAUAAGCACCGGCUAACUCUGUGCCAGCAGCCGCGGUAAUACAGAGGGUGCGAGCGUUAAUCGGAUUUACUGGGCGUAAAGCGUGCGUAGGCGGCUUUUUAAGUCGGAUGUGAAAUCCCCGAGCUUAACUUGGGAAUUGCAUUCGAUACUGGGAAGCUAGAGUAUGGGAGAGGAUGGUAGAAUUCCAGGUGUAGCGGUGAAAUGCGUAGAGAUCUGGAGGAAUACCGAUGGCGAAGGCAGCCAUCUGGCCUAAUACUGACGCUGAGGUACGAAAGCAUGGGGAGCAAACAGGAUUAGAUACCCUGGUAGUCCAUGCCGUAAACGAUGUCUACUAGCCGUUGGGGCCUUUGAGGCUUUAGUGGCGCAGCUAACGCGAUAAGUAGACCGCCUGGGGAGUACGGUCGCAAGACUAAAACUCAAAUGAAUUGACGGGGGCCCGCACAAGCGGUGGAGCAUGUGGUUUAAUUCGAUGCAACGCGAAGAACCUUACCUGGCCUUGACAUACUAGAAACUUUCCAGAGAUGGAUUGGUGCCUUCGGGAAUCUAGAUACAGGUGCUGCAUGGCUGUCGUCAGCUCGUGUCGUGAGAUGUUGGGUUAAGUCCCGCAACGAGCGCAACCCUUUUCCUUACUUGCCAGCAUUUCGGAUGGGAACUUUAAGGAUACUGCCAGUGACAAACUGGAGGAAGGCGGGGACGACGUCAAGUCAUCAUGGCCCUUACGGCCAGGGCUACACACGUGCUACAAUGGUCGGUACAAAGG
rnacentral:rRNA from 1 species